rnacentral:lncRNA from 1 species
AAAUGUGUUCGGAAUAUAUGUGAAGAUAGAAUUGAGUGACAGGAUGGGCAAAGAUGUAUCUAUAUUAAUAAAAAAACAAUUUGAUGUUGGUAUGCCUCUGAGGUUUAUGUAAUGUGUAUAGAAUAAUAAGGUGUGAAGUGCGACAAGAAAGUCUAGUCAGAGUAACAUAAUCAUCCUUCAUUUCUAUAUAUGAGCUGAAAGCAUCAGCAUUGCACACCGACCCUUUUUUUCUCUUGAUAAAAGCAAGAAAAACCUUAGCUUAGCUUACCCCACUCUACGUUGUCUUCACCUCCUCUACUCUCUCUCUCUCUCUUUUGCUUUGUGGAACUUAGCUUUCUAAUGGAAGAAUCAGGCCUGCCCUUUAAAUAGAGAGAGACACAUCACUUAUCUCAAUCUCCACCUCAUCCUCCAUGAAUUUUGUUUAUCAUCCUUCCACCAAGUCUUCAAUAUACCCACGUGACAUUAUUGGAAAGGAAAAAAGAAAAUGGGCCAAUAAACUUUGGCUUAAAUAAUAUGACAUCAAAAUCAUAUUACAAAUUACGUGGCUAACCUACUUGUAACUUGUUUUUCUUUUUCAAUAUAUAUUGAUUGUUACGUAUGAUUUUGAUGUGCAUAAAAUUAAGAUGCAUACAUGUAACCGCAAUAUAUAUUAUAGUGCUUAUAUGUUUGUUUGAAUUUGAUGGAAUGCAAAUAUGAAUACAUUGG